rnacentral:rRNA from 1 species
UAAUUGAAGAGUUUGAUCAUGGCUCAGAUUGAACGCUGGCGGCAGGCCUAACACAUGCAAGUCGAGCGGUAACAGGAGAAAGCUUGCUUUCUUGCUGACGAGCGGCGGACGGGUGAGUAAUGUAUGGGGAUCUGCCCGAUAGAGGGGGA